ensembl:lncRNA
GGAGACGAAGGGAGUCAGGAAGCAGGUGCAGGUGCCUCUCCCUCUCCAGCACACAACUAAGAUCUGCAGCUUCUAGUGAACCGUCUAAGAGGAAGACAAUUAACAAAGUCAGAUAUGGCAACUGCUGGAAACAGACGUAGCAAGGAUGUUGACCAUGAUAUCUCAUCAUUUUGGCUUAUAUGAAGUGGGACUAAAGUCUUCCUCUGCUCUGAAAAGCCCAACUCCAAGCACGGAAACGAGUACUCAGUCAGACAUUCAUGAUACGGAUUCAAGUGAUGACAGUAUGGAUUCACCACCUUUUAUUGAUGUCUUCAUCAGAUGCUCGAAUCAACCUCAGGUCACUCCAUCAGAACAUCAGCUCAUACAUGAAUGCAUAAAUACAUAAAUGAUCUGAAAACAUUGGCAGAUGAAUUUACAAUGGCAGCUGAAAAGAUCGAAUCGGAGAAAAAUAAAAGAGGGUCUCCUUACAAGAGCAAGGAGGCUGUUGGAGCAUAUGUGGCUGGGGGAGUGUGCGCCACAGUGGGUUUACUUUUAGUCCCCUUGACAGGGUUUGCCUCUAUUGCCGGUGCAGGGGCAGGCAUCACGUUGACUAUUUUGACUGCUGUUAUUCUUUACUUUAGAAUAAUUAUUAAUGACGUCACAAACCAAGAGACCUUGGCGGAUUAGGAGAAAAAGUUUUUGGUCAAGAGUGGACCAAUUGUGGAUCGUCUGCAUCGUAUCGAUGCAGAUAUCAAAGAAUUUGUUACAAUGUCUUCCAUGUCCCGAGCUGGAGAUGAGCCACAUCAGCUUAAGAGAGCAUCUGAACUGAGUGCUAGAAUUCUUAGUGAAGCAGUAGACUUGAAAAGGGAGUUAUCUGUCUUCUCAGGUAUUGUUAGUGAUAUCUUUGGGGAUGUCAGAAAGAUCGGCAGUGGCCGUGAUAUUGGUUCAGAGUUCAUGACAAGUAUCAAGAAAUCAUCUGAAUUGUGUCAGGAGACUAUAAGCAAAUUUGAAAAGAUGAGAGAAGAACUUGAAAAAAAUGUCUGAUUUAAAUUAGGAACAAAAUACAAAUGAAUAAUUUGUUGAAAUGAACCAAUUAGUUGCAAUAAAUCAUUAUCAUUACCUGGCAUGAUCUUGGGUAUCAUCCAGAUCGGUGAGAACAACGAUAAUGAGAGAGUAGGGAUUCAGCUAGGCUCAGUCAGGAAACUAUAGAUGACUAGAACAACUACAUGAGAAAAACAAUGUUAGAAAUGGAAGAAAAUUCUGAAAUUGAGUUAGAUUUUGUUUACUCAGCUUAUCAGCCCUCCAUCAUGCAGUGUAUUAUGUUACCCUAAGGAUAGUGUAAAUAAUUCAGCAUAUUAAUGUUUUAAAAAAUCUAUUUUGUAAAAUGUACUGUAUGUGAUGUUAUAUGAGUGACACAUUUCAAGGUAACUUUUAAUUUGACAUUUUUAUUAAAUGUAUUGAAGUGUAUCAAAAUGUACAGUCAGCUUGAACUAACUUUUGUAAAAUAUACAUGACGCGUGAGUGACAAGUGAACUUUUAAAUUAAUUUAUUUUGACAAAAUAUAUGUACAGUUAACUUGAACUAAAGAAAAAUAAAAUAAAUUCAUAUUUGUUUAAC